ACGGCGAGUGAAGAGGGAAAAGCCCAAAUUUGUAAUCUGGCUCUUUCAGGGUCCGAAUUGUAAUUUUAAGAACUGUUUUCUGUGCUGGACCAUGUACAAGUCUGUUGAAAAACAGCAUCAUUGAGGGUGAUAAUCCCGUUCAUGAUAUGGACUACCAGUACUAUAUGAUACAGUUUCUAAGAGUCGAGUUGUUUGGGAAUGCAGCUCAAAGUGGGUGGUAAAUUCCAUCUAAGGCUAAAUAUGGGUGAGAGACCGAUAGCAAACAAGUACCGUGAGGGAAAGAUGAAAAGAACUUUGGAAAGAGAGUUAACAGUACGUGAAAUUGCUGUAAGGGAAACGAUUGAAGUUAGCCUUGUUAUUGUCAGCUCAGCCCUUUUAGGGUGUAUUCUGAUGAUUAACAGACCAACAUCAGUCUUUGAGUGUUGGAUAAGGGUAAUGGAAAUGUAGCAGCUUAGGCUGUGUUAUAGUCCUCUACUUUGAUACAAUGCUUGGGAUUGAGGAUCGCAGUAAGC
rnacentral:rRNA from 1 species